UAUCUCCAGUGGGGAUACAGGUGACACCCAGUCUGUCACACGGGAACCCCCAACUGUUCCAUUGCCAAAAUAUGGGAGAACUGAGGGGGAUAGAGCAAUGGCUUGACUGUGCACAGCCUUGCAGCUUCACAAGAGAGUGAGGUGGAGGAGGACCUGCUCCUUUUGCCUCUGCACAGUCAGGUUCCAGACACCCCAAAAGGAGAACAGGAGGGUUGAACCCUAAAGAAGAAGUAGGUGAAUCAGCUGACGGUAUGCAAUGUUAUUGUGCUAUAAAAAUAUGUUGAGUACGGUCUUUUAUAAAAGCUUGUAAUGUUCUAAUCAUUAUCAUUAUGAGAUGUAUACAGGCUAUGGUUAUAUGUAUUUGUGUGUCUAUAGAGAACUGGGCUCAUAAACUUAGGAUCUAACUCACAGCAGAACAGUGAGCAAUCAGACAGGGAGGGACACCUUCCAAGCCAGAUGUUUACAUGUAUCUAGCUUCAAAUAACAAACCAUUGUCCAGCCCAGGAAAAGACCAGAAUGGGACAUUAGAGUUAAUGGAAAGAUAUUGAGACAUCUGGGCUUUCAGUCAAGAGGGGGUUUCCACACUCAUGAGUCACCAUGGACUGAGAGAAAGAAAAGAAAAAAAAAGGGAGGGGGGGUCUUUUAAAAGCAGG